rnacentral:rRNA from 1 species
AGAACUUAGCAGAGAUGCUUUGGUGCCUUCGGGAACUCUGAGACAGGUGCUGCAUGGCUGUCGUCAGCUCGUGUUGUGAAAUGUUGGGUUAAGUCCCGCAACGAGCGCAACCCUUAUCCUUUGUUGCCAGCGGUCCGCCGGGAACUCAAAGGAGACUGCCAGUGAUAAACUGGAGGAAGGUGGGGAUGACGUCAAGUCAUCAUGGCCCUUACGAGUAGGGCUACACACGUGCUACAAUGGCGCAUACAAAGAGAAGCGACCUCGCGAGAGCAAGCGGACCUCAUAAAGUGCGUCGUAGUCCGGAUUGGAGUCUGCAACUCGACUCCAUGAAGUCGGAAUCGCUAGUAAUCGUGGAUCAGAAUGCCACGGUGAAUACGUUCCCGGGCCUUGUACACACCGCCCGUCACACCAUGGGAGUGGGUUGCAAAAGAAGUAGGUAGCUUAACCUUCGGGAGGGCGCUUACCACUUUGUGAUUCAUGACUGGGGUGAAGUCGUAACAAGGUAGGCGUAGUGCU